rnacentral:lncRNA from 1 species
ACCGAAAUGGUGGUUGGAAGGAUGAGGGUUGGUGCUGGGGUUUGGGGUUAGGCUUAGAGUUGGUGGUGGAGUUGCAGGGGUACCUGGUAAGGGAUAGGGCUAGGGCUAGGGCUAGGGUUGGGCUUAUGAGGAUGGGGAAGUCGCAGGAUAGGAUUAGGAGAAGAUGAAGAGAGGGAUAAGAAAAAAAAGGGAAAAAGAAUGAUCCACAUAAGGAGAAAAAGAACAGGCCAAUAGAUGGUACUAGAGACAGCAAGCCAGCACUGGCACAUCUUGCAGAUGGCACACUUUCUCAUCGGCAAAGUAAGAGAUAGAGACAUAGGUGUGGA